UACGGGGGGUGCGAGCGUUGUUCGGAGUUACUGGGCGUAAAGGGUGUGUAGGCGGUUCUCUAAGUUUGGUGUGAAAUCUCCCGGCUCAACCGGGAGGGUGCGCCGAAAACUGGAGGGCUAGAGUGCGGGAAGGGAGAGUAGAAUUCCUGGUGUAGCGGUGAAAUGCGUAGAUAUCAGGAGGAAUACCGGUGGUGCAGACGGCUCUCUGGACCGCGACUGACGCUGAGACACGAAAGCGUGGGUAGCAAACAGG
rnacentral:rRNA from 1 species